GCAGCAACGCCGCGUGGAUGAUGAAGGCCUUCGGGUUGUAAAAUCCUUUCUGAGGGAAGAUAAUGACGGUACCUCAGGAAUAAGUUCCGGCUAACUACGUGCCAGCAGCCGCGGUAAAACGUAGGGGGACAAGCGUUAUCCGGAUUUACUGGGCGUAGAGCGCAUGUAGGUGGCGCGGAAAGUUGGACGUGAAAGCUCCCGGCUUAACUGGGGAGAGGUCGUUCAAAACUGUCGUGCUUGAGGUUGGAAGAGGAGAGCGGAAUUCCCGGUGUAGUGGUGGAAUGCGUAGAUAUCGGGAGGAACACCAGUGGCGAAAGCGGCUCUCUGGUUCACACCUGACACUGAGAUGCGAAAGCGUGGGGAGCGAACGGGAUUAGAUACCCCGGUAGUCCACGCUGUAAACGAUGGAUACUAGGUGUAGGAGGUCAUUAACCCCUUCUGUGCCGAAGCUAACGCGUUAAGUAUCCCGCCUGGGGACUACGGCCGCAAGGUUA
rnacentral:rRNA from 1 species